UACGGGGGGGGCAAGCGUUGUUCGGAAUUACUGGGCGUAAAGGGCCAGUAGGCGGCCAACUAAGUCGGAUGUGAAAUCCCCAGGCUCAACUUGGGAACUGCAUCCGAUACUGGAUGGCUUGAAUUCGGGAGAGGGAUGCAGAAUUCCAGGUGUAGCGGUGAAAUGCGUAGAUAUCUGGAGGAAUACCGGUGGCGAAGGCGGCUCACUGGCCCGGUACUGACGCUGAGGUGGCGAAAGCGUGGGGAGCAAACAGG
rnacentral:rRNA from 1 species